AUACGUAGGGGGCGAGCGUUGUCCGGAAUGAUUGGGCGUAAAGGGCGCGUAGGCGGCCUGUUAAGUCUGGAGUGAAAGUCCUGUUUUCAAGAUGGGAAUUGCUUUGGAUACUGAUGGGCUUGAGUGCAGGAGAGGUUAUCGGAAUUCCCGGUGUAGCGGUGAAAUGCGUAGAGAUCGGGAGGAACACCAGUGGCGAAGGCGGGUAACUGGACUGCAACUGACGCUGAGGCGCGAAAGUGUGGGGAGCAAACAGGAUUAGAUACCCUGGUAGUCCACACCGUAACCGAUGAAUGCUAGGUGUAAGAGGUAUCGACCCCUUUUGUGCCGGAGUCAACACAAUAAGCAUUCCGCCUGGGGAGUACGGCCGCAAGGUUGAAACUCAAAGGAAUUGACGGGG
rnacentral:rRNA from 1 species